rnacentral:rRNA from 1 species
GAUGAACGCUGGCGGCGUGCCUAAUACAUGCAAGUCGAGCGAACGGACGAGAAGCUUGCUUUUCUGAUGUUAGCGGCGGACGGGUGAGUAACACGUGGAUAACCUACCUAUAAGACUGGGAUAACUUCGGUAAACCGGAGCUAAUACCGGAUAAUAUUUUGAACCGCAUGGUUCAAAAGUGAAAGACGGUCUUGCUGUCACUUAUAGAUGGAUCCGCGCUGCAUUAGCUAGUUGGUAAGGUAACGGCUUACCAAGGCAACUAUGCAUAGCCGACCUGAGAGGGUGAUCGGCCACACUGGAACUGAGACACGGUCCAGACUCCUACGGGAGGCAGCAGUAGGGAAUCUUACGCAAUGGGCGAAAGCCUGACGGAGCAACGCCGCGUGAGUGAUGAAGGUAUUCGGAUCGUAAAACUCUGUUAUUAGGGAAGAACAUAUGUGUAAGUAACUGUGCACAUCUUGACGGUACCUAAUCAGAAAGCCACGGCUAACUACGUG